GUUUUACCAAGAUCAAUUGUUAGCUACAUCCACAUGUCUAGAAGAGUUGUCUACAUGAUUGAGUGGUCCAAAUCCUCAGGAAAGACAAUUUGUCCUCAAAGAAGGGGUAUAAGAGGGGUGUCCUAAAGGUGCUAAUUCUUCAUAAUACUGUUAAGCCAGAAGUUUCUAAUUAAGCUUUUUGAAUAUUUUUGAGGCUUUCAGUAUAAGCUGCAGGCAGCCAAAGAGUGCAUGUUUGUUUUAUUCUCUGGUUCACACCCUUGGAUAAACUCAUAACUUAAAUUCUUUUCACAUAUACUCUCACAUGUUCCCAUCUACCCAAUCCUGAGUGGAUGGGACAAGGAACAUGGAUUCAUUUAUUACAUCUGGUCGAGCUGUAUUACACAGGAGUGUUUUCUAUUCUAGGUGAGAAAAAGAAGUGGGUAAAAAUAGCUCCAUCCUGGCCGAGAACACUCUGUGGCUCAGUAAGAAACUCAGGAGCACAUGACUGCCAUUUGGUUUCUACCUGUCUCCGGAGAAGUUCAGUGGUGGCAUCGCUGUGGGCGACGCACACACGCCUUGGCCACGAGCUCACACGUGGGUCGGGGAGGCCGCCGCCCUGCUGCCCUCUCCAUGCUUAGGGUUGCCCACUGCCUGGUGCGAGAUGAGACACGUGUUCAGAAUAUGGAGAAGCAUGGCCCCCCCGGAAGUGGAAGAAGGUCAGCUUCCAGGAAGAAGCAAUGGCUGCAAGUGUCCUGAGUGAAAGAAGAGAGUGAUGGGUUUCCAGCUCUGCCUUGAAUUCUUUUAUUUCUGUAUGUAUGUAGGUAACACUCGUACACACACGGAACCUGAGUGAGUCUCCCUUACUUUCACACAGAGGGUCUAAUAUCGUCCCCAAACGAAUUCCAUUUUCUCUGGAACGUUACCUAGUGUGUGUCACCAAGAUGGGCCUGGUGACAGGGGCUGUGACAGAAGACGCAGUCACUUGAUGUCUGACACACACUCAGAGAAGACGUCCUUCCACCUCAGAGAUUGGAGAACGGCUGAUGUGGGGGGGACCAAGGUCAUCUCUGAAAGAACUUUGUGAAGUUUUUCUAAAGUUCUUUAAAAGUCAUUUAAAAAGGUCUUAGAACUCACAAAGAAAAAAAAUAACAGUCCUAAUAGGUAAAAAUGAGUGUCUGAUGACAUCACCCCUAGCACGCACACCUCAGUGGGAGGUCUCUGUGGCUCCUGGUGAAGGUGAAGAUGUACGGACUCCCAGCAGGUGUCUGCUGUCAGACCCCUGCAGGCGUUACAGGGGGACAUGCACAGAGACGUCUGCGGUGGUGCUGUCUGCAAUAAAAAUACUUCUCGUAAUGAGUGAACAUGGAUGAGAAAUGGAAGCAGCCUAAAUAUAGUUUGUUCUGCAUUCCUAUGAGGCUUGUUAGAAUUCUCAGGGACAGCCAUCCUCCCAUUUCACAGAUGAGGAGACCACGUAUUUUGCCCAGAGAGAGUCACAGCCUGGUUCUGGAGCCCUUCUCCUUGCUCACACGGUUUCUGCAACUUGCUGUUUGAAGCUGGUACAGAAUGGGAGGGGGACGGAGCACACAGAGGAGUCAUGUGUCCCUGGCCUCAGCUCAUGCCCAGGAACGCUGUGGAGGUGUGAGCUCCUGACCACACGCCUGUGCUGGGGGCAGAGCAGCCGGGAAACGUCCAGAAGCCCGCCAUCGAGACAGGGCAGGACUGCCGUCUUUGCAGCCAGACCAAGUCCAGCAGCAGAGACUGGAAGCCAAAGUGUCUGUGGGCUGAGUCAGGUUGUUUGCAUGCCCAUUAGGCUGGGGCAGAGUCAGCCUAACAAGGACUGUAGGGAGAGAGCAUGCUGCUCCCAGUGGGGCUGGGCGGAGGCACUGGGAGCCGGAGAGAAGGCUGGGUUUCCCAGACCGCGUCGCAGUGAGCGACCACUUGCAGAUCAGUGGGAGGGCUUGUCAGGGUGGCCAGUCCCAGUAGGAAGGGCGCGCACAGGUUUCCCCUCAAAAUGCAUCCCCUGCAGAGAAAGAACGCCUCCGAUGGACUCUAAAUACACCUCCCAGAUUCGGUCACAGUCUGUGAGUUGCGUUGCUGAGACAAUAAUAAAGCGACUAUGCCCCAGUGGACUUCCGUGCCUCCUCUGAGGACGUCUCAUUCUGUUUCCUACCUAGAGACCGUUCAUAAAUCAUUCUCCAACUGAGUACAGUUCAGGGCUGCCACUUAGCUUAUCUGACCUUCACAUUAAUUAUUUUUAUUACAGCACCAGGAACCUCAAUGUUCUUUUCCCCCUGCCGCCCGGAGCCAUGUGGCCCCGAGUGGGGCAGCCCUGCCAUGCUUGUCCCGCACCUGGACGGCCGCGGGGCUCUCCCCAGUGGACCAGCCCACACCUC